rnacentral:rRNA from 1 species
UACGAAGGGGGGCUAGCGUUGUUCGGAAUUACUGGGCGUAAAGCGCGCGCAGGCGGUUCUUCAAGUCAGAGGUGAAAGCCCAGAGCUCAACUCUGGAAUGGCCUUUGAGACUAGAGAACUUGGGUACGGGAGAGGUGAGUGGAAUUCCGAGUGUAGAGGUGAAAUUCGUAGAUAUUUGGAAGAACACCAGUGGCGAAGGCGGCUCACUGGCCCGUUACCGACGCUCAGGCGCGACAGCGUGGGGAGCAAACAGG